GAGGAUAUAACUCAGCAGCAGAGUGCCUGCCUGACAAGCAUGAGGACCUGAGUUUGAUUCUUGGUUUAUUUU
rnacentral:tRNA from 1 species